CAGGGGAUUGCAGUGGCAAAGCUAGGCUAGGUCUUGGAGGCUGGUGUAAGGCGAUGCGGGUGAAGGCAGGAGGCUGAUGGAAAGACUGGGGGGAAGAAAAGCCGAAAUGGAUUCACGGUGCCUUGGAUGAAGGACGAGAGGGGAACUGCAAGCUCCUUCAACUGGUUCUGUCCGGUGAGAAGUGAUCAAGCUUGGGCUGACAAGAGGCUCAGGGAGCCCUCACGUUCUUUCGCUUUUUUACCUGCCAAUCAAACUGCUACAAGACAACACCCUGAUCUGGCAUGGACAUACUGAGUCUCACUCUGUCGCCCAGGUUGGAGUGCAGUGGCGCGAUCUUGGCUCACUGCAACUGCCACUUCCCAGGUUCAAGUGGUUCUCCUGCCUCAGCCUCCUGAGUACCUGAAAUUACAGGCACCUGCCACCACACCCGUCUCAAUACCUUCACAGAUGUGAAGAACUAGCAACAAAAUGACUUAGACAGCAACGUGAUUCCUAGAGAAUGGCAAGACCAAUUCUUCAACUACUUCUUCAGCAUUUCUGAAACAGUUGGAAGAUGGCCCAUAGUGCUCUCUUAAUUCUUUGAUAAUUUGGACAUUGACCUUUCCAUUAUAUGACCUGGGCUUGUGGGCAUCAUGUCGUAAUGUGCCUGUUCAGACAUCUCCCUGUACCAAUAUGGAUCACUUGAAGAGACUCCUUUGCCUCCAUCAAAAAGGAUACAGUUGUGUAUCUCUUUCAUUUUUGUUUACAGUGCCUAAAAUUAUUUGAGCAGUUUUUCACCUCUUCUCUGAUAAACACCUUAUUAGUCCUUAAAAAGAAAAGAAAAAAGGAAAAUAAAACUUUUAUUGAGAUCCUA
rnacentral:sRNA from 1 species